rnacentral:rRNA from 1 species
AGUGAACGCUGGUGGUAGGCCUAACACAUGCAAGUCGAACGGCAGCACAGUAAGAGCUUGCUCUUACGGGUGGCGAGUGGCGGACGGGUGAGGAAUACAUCGGAAUCUACUUUUUCGUGGGGGAUAACGUAGGGAAACUUACGCUAAUACCGCAUACGACCUACGGGUGAAAGCAGGGGAUCUUCGGACCUUGCGCGAUUGAAUGAGCCGAUGUCGGAUUAGCUAGUUGGCGGGGUAAAGGCCCACCAAGGCGACGAUCCGUAGCUGGUCUGAGAGGAUGAACAGCCAACCUUGAACCUAGAACAGGUCCCGACUCCCACGGGAGGCAAGCGUGGGGAAAUUUGGACCAUGGGCCGAAAGCUGAUCCCGCCCAUCCGGGGGGGGUGAGAAGGGCCUUCGGUUUUUAAGCCCCUUUGUUUGGAAAGAAAAGCAGCAGGUUAAUACCCCGCUGUUCUGACGGUACCCAAAGAAUAAGCACCGGCUAACUUCGUG